CCUACGGGAGGCAGCAGUGGGGAAUAUUGCACAAUGGGCGCAAGCCUGAUGCAGCAACGCCGCGUGAGGGAUGACGGCCUUCGGGUUGUAAACCUCUUUUAGCAGGGAAGAAGCGAAAGUGACGGUACCUGCAGAAAGAGCGCCGGCUAACUACGUGCCAGCAGCCGCGGUAAUACGUAGGGCGCAAGCGUUAUCCGGAAUUAUUGGGCGUAAAGAGCUCGUAGGCGGUUUGUCGCGUCUGCUGUGAAAUCCGGAGGCUCAACCUCCGGCCUGCAGUGGGUACGGGCAGACUAGAGUGCGGUAGGGGAGAUUGGAAUUCCUGGUGUAGCGGUGGAAUGCGCAGAUAUCAGGAGGAACACCGAUGGCGAAGGCAGAUCUCUGGGCCGUAACUGACGCUGAGGAGCGAAAGGGUGGGGAGCAAACAGGCUUAGAUACCCUGGUAGUCCACCCGUAAACGUUGGGAACUAGUUGUGGGGUCCAUUCCACGGAUUCCGUGACGCAGCUAACGCAUUAAGUUCCCGCCUGGGGAGUCGGCCGCAAGGCUAAAACUUAAAUGAAUUGACGGCUGAGAGNGCGAGCGACACGAGGAGAGG
rnacentral:rRNA from 1 species